rnacentral:rRNA from 1 species
GACGACGACUCCUACGGGAGGCAGCAGUGGGGAAUAUUGCACAAUGGGGGAAACCCUGAUGCAGCCAUGCCGCGUGUGUGAAGAAGGCCUUCGGGUUGUAAAGCACUUUCAGUAGGGAGGAAGGUAGUGUAGUUAACACCUGCAUUAUUUGACGUUACCUACAGAAGAAGCACCGGCUAACUCCGUGCCAGCAGCCGCGGUAAUACGGAGGGUGCGAGCGUUAAUCGGAAUUACUGGGCGUAAAGCGCAUGCAGGCGGCCUGUUAAGUCAGAUGUGAAAGCCCGGGGCUUAACCUCGGAAUUGCAUUUGAAACUGGCAGGCUAGAGUCUUGUAGAGGGGGUAGAAUUUCAGGUGUAGCGGUGAAAUGCGUAGAGAUCUGAAGGAAUACCAGUGGCGAAGGCGGCCCCCUGGACAAAGACUGACGCUCAGAUGCGAAAGCGUGGGGAGCAAACAGGAUUAGAUACCCUGGUAG